rnacentral:rRNA from 1 species
GGCGAACGCUGGCGGCAGGCCUAACACAUGCAAGUCGAACGAAGCCUUCGGGCUUAGUGGCGGACGGGUGAGUAACACGUGGGAACGUACCUUUAGGUUCGGGAUAACUCAGGGCAACUUGAGCUAAUACCGGAUGUGCCCUUCGGGGGAAAGAUUUAUCGCCUUUAGAGCGGCCCGCGUUAGAUUAGCUAGUUGGUGAGGUAAAGGCUCACCAAGGCUCCGAUCUAAUGCUGGUCUGAGAGGAUGAUCAGCCACACUGGGACUGAGACCCGGCCCAGACUCCUACGGGAGGCAGCAGUGGGGAAUCUUGCGCAAUGGGCGAAAGCCUGACGCAGCCAUGCCGCGUGAAUGAUGAAGGUCUUAGGAUUGUAAAAUUCUUUUAGCAGGGACGAUAAUGACGGUACCUGCAGAAAAAGCCCCGGCUAACUUCGUGCCAGCCGCCGCGGUAAAAC